rnacentral:lncRNA from 1 species
UUUAUUUUCAUAUUAUGAACAACAUGUUUAAAUAAAUAAAAAAGCAUCAUGCGCCAUUCAUCAAAAUUGAGGAUUGUUGCGCCCCUCGGUUUUUCGUCUCCUUCAGUUUGACAGCCGCGAUUGCGCCUUUUGACCUCGUCCUUCUGUUUCGACUACACGGAGAAAAGCGAUUAUACUAGUUAGCAUGCAUAUUAUUAUUUUUCAAACAUUUUCCUCAUUUAAUCGUUGCGAUACUUAAAAAAUAUUCUCUGGAUUAUUUUAUUUUAUACUUUGUCAUGCAUUUUUCUUUUAUAUAUUUUACCAUGCAUAUGUAGCCACCCAUGCUACUCUUUGGACUUUUGCAAAAUCAAUCUCGUUCUGUUCGGUUACUUAAUUCAUGCUAUUCAAGUAAGUCGCGUCGCGUUCAUUAAAAAUAUCAUAAUAUUCACGAAAAGGUGCCUAAAUACCCCGAGUAUGUUUUCAUCCUGUUCAGCAGCAUGUGAAAACUCUUGGAGACAAAAUAACAAACCAACCUCAAAUAAAGGAAAUCUUCCGAAGUUCCAGCGUGUCGUAAAACUGUACAAAUUACAGCCGAAAAAGCUGUUGAAAGUUGAUUUUGUGCGGAAGAAACCCAUCGCGAUAAUCGUGAAGAAAUCGGAAAAAAAUCGGGACACUAUUCUGGAACUGAAUUCACCGAGCAUGAUGGAUUUUGCGAGAUCGAAGUGGCAUUGCGCAGGAGACCGGAUCAGUCAAUGUCGGGAAGCAAAAUAAAUUUGAAAAAGCAGCUG